rnacentral:rRNA from 1 species
CAAUAGCGUAUAUUAACGUUGUUGCAGUUAAAAAGCUCGUAGUUGGAUUUCUGGAGGGAGCGUCGGCCCGUAUUUACGAGUGCGUGACGUCUCUGUCCAUCCUUGCGGGAAGGCACGGCAUUGAUUUGUUGUGUCGGAUCGCAUCAUUUACUGUGAAAAAAUUAGAGUGUUCAAAGCAGGCUUUCGCUUGAAUACAUUAGCAUGGAAUAAUAAGAUAGGUCUUUGGUGCUAUUUUGUUGGUUGAGCCUAAAGUAAUGAUUAAUAGGGAUAGUUGGGGGCACCUGUAUUGCGUUGUCAGAGGUGAAAUUCUUGGAUUUACGCAAGACAAACAGCUGCGAAAGCGUCUGCCAAGGAUGUUUUCAUUAA